rnacentral:rRNA from 1 species
AACGGGUGAGUAACACGUAAGCAACCUGCCCUUAAGACGAGGAUAACAAUUGGAAACAGUUGCUAAGACUGGAUAGGAAAAGUGAAGGCAUCUUUACUUUUUUAAAAGACCUUCUUUGAAGGUAUGCUUAAGGAGGGGCUUGCGACACAUUAGUUAGUUGGCAGGGUAAAGGCCUACCAAGACUAUGAUGUGUAGCUGGACUGAGAGGUUGAACAGCCACAUUGGGACUGAGACACGGCCCAAACUCCUACGGGAGGCAGCAGUAGGGAAUUUUCGGCAAUGGAGGAAACUCUGACCGAGCAACGCCGCGUGAACGAUGAAGUACCUCGGUAUGUAAAGUUCUUUUAUUAAGGAAGAAAAAAGAGUGGAAAAACUCCCUUGACGGUACUUAAUGAAUAAGCCCCGGCUAAUUAUGUGCCAGCAGCCGCGGUAAUACAUAAGGGGCGAGCGUUAUCCGGAAUUAUUGGGCGUAAAGGGUGCGUAGGCGGUUUAAUAAGUCUAUAGUUUAAUUUCAGCGCUUAACGCUGUUGUGCUAUAGAAACUGUUUUACUAGAGUGAGAUAGAGGCAAGCGGAAUUCCAUGUGUAGCGGUAAAAUGCGUAAAUAUAUGGAGGAACACCAGAGGCGUAGGCGGCUUGCUGGGUCUUUACUGACGCUGAGGCACGAAAGCGUGGGGAGCAAACAGGAUUAGAUACCCUGGUAGUCCACGCCGUAAACGAUGAGUACUAAGUGUCGGGUAAAACCGGUACUGAAGUUAACACAUUAAGUACUCCGCCUGAGUAGUACGUACGCAAGUAUGAAACUUAAAGGAAUUGACGGGACUCCGCACAAGCGGUGGAUCAUGUUGUUUAAUUCGAAGAUACACGAAAAACCUUACCAGGUCUUGACAUUUUCUUGCGAAGUUAUAGAAAUAUAAUGGAGGUUAUCAGGAAAACAGGUGGUGCAUGGUUGUCGUCAGCUCGUGUCGUGAGAUGUUAGGUUAAGUCCUAAAACGAGCGCAACCCUUGUCGUUAAUUGCCAGCAUGUAAUGAUGGGGACUUUAACGAGACUGCCAAUGAAAAAUUGGAGGAAGGUGGGGAUUACGUCAAAUCAUCAUGCCCCUUAUGAUCUGGGCUACAAACGUGAUACAAUGGUUGAUACAAAGAGUAGCUUAAACGCGAGUUCUUAGCCAAUCUCACAAAAUCAAUCUCAGUUCGGAUUGAAGUCUGCAACUCGACUUCAUGAAGUUGGAAUCGCUAGUAAUCGUGAAUCAGCAUGUCGCGGUGAAUACGUUCUCGGGGUUUGUACACACCGCCCGUCAAACCACGAAAGUUGGCAAUACCCCAAAGCGGUCGCCUAACUUCGCAAGAAGAAGGAUCCGUCUAAGGUAGGGUCGAUAAUUGGGGUUAAGUCGUAA